rnacentral:lncRNA from 1 species
AGGAAUUUGAAUGUAAAUAGAAAUACCUCCCCACACCCCAUGAAGUUUUCUUUGGAAGAUUUAAAAGAGGUUUGUGUUCAUUUAAAAACUGGAUUAUUUCUGAAUUAUACUGAACGACAACCCUUCUAUGAAGUUAGUAAACUUUUUGAAUCUUUUUUCACAUGGAGAUUUGGUUUUAGUAUAUGAUUUGGGGAUGUCAAAGCUCUUAAAUAAGAAAGAUCUUAACAGUGUGCUGUGGGAGAAUGAAAAACGUGUAAAGCUGUCGAGUCCCCAGCUUGCCUGCUACCUAUGUGGAUGUGUUCCCCAGGAGAAUCAGCCCACGUGGGAAGUGAGAAAUAAGACUCAUGUGCUUAAGUCCUGAUGUUCUGCAGCACCUGAGGAGUUAACUACUUGUAGGACCCUUCUUAUCCAGGCUGGCCUGGUCUUUGUUCAUUC